rnacentral:rRNA from 1 species
UACGUAGGGUGCAGGCGUUAAUCGGAAUUACUGGGCGUAAAGCGUGCGCAGGCGGUUUCUUAAGUCAGAUGUGAAAGCCCCGGGCUUAACCUGGGAACUGCGUUUGAAACUGGGAGACUAGAGUGUGGCAGAGGGGGGUGGAAUUCCACGUGUAGCAGUGAAAUGCGUAGAUAUGCGGAGGAACACCGAUGGCGAAGGCAGCCCCCUGGGCUAACACUGACGCUCAGGCACGAAAGCGUGGGGAGCAAACAGG